UACGUAGGGUCCGAGCGUUGUCCGGAAUUAUUGGGCGUAAAGGGCUCGUAGGCGGUUUGUCGCGUCGGGAGUGAAAUCCACUGGCUUAACUGGUGGCUUGCUUUCGAUACGGGCAGACUGGAGGUAUGCAGGGGGAGAACGGAAUUCCUGGUGUAGCGGUGAAAUGCGCAGAUAUCAGGAGGAACACCGGUGGCGAAGGCGGUUCUCUGGGCAUGUCCUGACGCUGAGGAGCGAAAGUGUGGGGAGCGAACGGG
rnacentral:rRNA from 1 species